rnacentral:rRNA from 1 species
UACGGAGGGGGCGAGCGUUAUUCGGAAUUAUUGGGCGUAAAGGGCGCGUAGGCGGCUUUGCAAGUCGGAUGUGAAAUCCCCAGGCUUAACCUGGGAACUGCAUUCGAGACUGCAUUGCUAGAGUUCGGUAGGGGAGACUGGAAUUCCUGGUGUAGCGGUGAAAUGCGCAGAUAUCAGGAGGAACACCGGUGGCGAAGGCGGGUCUCUGGGCCGAAACUGACGCUGAGGAGCGAAAGCGUGGGGAGCAAACAGG